rnacentral:rRNA from 1 species
CGGGACGGGUGAGUAACGCGUGGGUAACCUGCCAUAUACAGGGGGAGUAACAGCGAGAAAUUGCUGCUAAAACCGCAUAAGCGCACGGAGUCGCAUGACUCAGUGUGAAAAACUCCGGUGGUAUAUGAUGGACCCGCGUCUGAUUAGCCAGUUGGCAGGGUAACGGCCUACCAAAGCGACGAUCAGUAGCCGGCCUGAGAGGGUGGACGGCCACAUUGGGACUGAGACACGGCCCAAACUCCUACGGGAGGCAGCAG